rnacentral:rRNA from 1 species
ACUCCUGCGGGAGGCAGCAGUGGGGAAUUUUGGACAAUGGGCGAAAGCCUGAUCCAGCCAUGCCGCGUGCAGGAUGAAGGCCUUCGGGUUGUAAACUGCUUUUGUACGGAACGAAACGGCCUUUUCUAAUAAAGAGGGCUAAUGACGGUACCGUAAGAAUAAGCACCGGCUAACUACGUGCCAGCAGCCGCGGUAAUACGUAGGGUGCAAGCGUUAAUCGGAAUCACUGGGCGUAAAGCGUGCGCAGGCGGUUAUGUAAGACAGUUGUGAAAUCCCCGGGCUCAACCUGGGAACUGCAUCUGUGACUGCAUAGCUAGAGUACGGUAGAGGGGGAUGGAAUUCCGCGUGUAGCAGUGAAAUGCGUAGAUAUGCGGAGGAACACCGAUGGCGAAGGCAAUCCCCUGGACCUGUACUGACGCUCAUGCACGAAAGCGUGGGGAGCAAACAGGAUUAGAAACCCCUGUAGUCCCAU